AGCGAACGCUGGCGGCAGGCCUAACACAUGCAAGUCGAACGAACCUUUCGGGGUUAGUGGCGGACGGGUGAGUAACACGUGGGAACGUGCCUUUAGGUUCGGAAUAACUCAGGGAAACUUGUGCUAAUACCGAAUGUGCCCUUCGGGGGAAAGAUUAAUCGCCGUUAGAGCGGCCCGCGUCUGAUUAGCUAGUUGGUUGAGGUAAUGGCUCACCAAGGCGACGAUCAGUAGCUGGUCUGAGAGGAUGAUCAGCCACAUUGGGACUGAGACACGGCCCAAACUCCUACGGGAGGCAGCAGUGGGGAAUCUUGCGCAAUGGGCGAAAGCCUGACGCAGCCAUGCCGCGUGAAUGAUGAAGGUCUUAGGAUUGUAAAAUUCUUUCACCGGGGACGAUAAUGACGGUACCCGAAGAAGAAGCCCCGGCUAACUUCGUG
rnacentral:rRNA from 1 species